CAGGCAAUAUAAGCGCCAGAGCUUGCAACAAAGGAUGCCGAUUUUCGGCAGGACUCCCGGCCACGGAGCGGGAGCAAAGGAUAGCCCGUGUCAUACGGGUGCGGUCCAUGGUCGACGACGCCGGAUAGAAGAUCCAGGCGGGAGCGGCGGGACCGGGCAGCUUCGCGAGGAGCGGCGGCCUUUGGAUUCCUGAGGCAUCCCCAGAGCAAGCUGACGAGGUGAAGGUGUUCGAAACAUUCGGCGGGGACCUUCCGGUGGGCAUGACAUCGACAGCCGUUAUCGCAAAAGGACGCGGGCAACCGGUCUUACAAACGAACGGCACCAUGCAG
rnacentral:ncRNA from 2 species